rnacentral:rRNA from 1 species
UACGAAGGGGGCUAGCGUUGCUCGGAAUCACUGGGCGUAAAGCGCACGUAGGCGGAUCUUUAAGUCAGGGGUGAAAUCCCGGAGCUCAACUCCGGAACUGCCUUUGAUACUGAGGGUCUCGAGUUCGGGAGAGGUGAGUGGAACUGCGAGUGUAGAGGUGAAAUUCGUAGAUAUUCGCAAGAACACCAGUGGCGAAGGCGGCUCACUGGCCCGAUACUGACGCUGAGGUGCGAAAGCGUGGGGAGCAAACAGGG